UUGUUCCUUCUAAAGUUCCUCUUGGUGAGUCUUUUAAUGUCUGUAUUGUCCUUGGUAAAAGAUACUCCUUUAGACAACUCAUUCACCAACAAAGGGUUUUAGGGAGGAAGGUAAGUAUAAGUUAUCACUUUACCUUUAAAUGUUUUUUUGUUUAUUUCAGCAAUGCCUUGUUAUGUAUUGUGGACAAUUGGACUAAUUGUGGGAAGCUAUUCUUAUUUGAUUUUUAUUGAUAUUUUUUUAGCUGGGGUUAGUAAUUGAUCUUACAAAUACGUCUCGUUAUUAUUCUAUGAAUGAUUGGAAGAAAGAAGGCAUCAAGUAUGUUAUGGAAGUUGAAGUUAUUUAUGGUAGUGAUCUUGAUACUUCUGUUUAUGGUAGUGGGUUUCCACGUGCAUCUGAUGAAAGACCAUCACCAUUGGUGGUUCAAUCAAUGUCAUUUAGUAAUAUUUGGAAAUACAGCCUCUUAAUCCUUCUGAGGGGGUGUUUGUUGGGCUGCUUCUUUCAAUGUCAU